UAUUCUUCGUUGUGGGUCCUUCUAGUUGUGGCAUGUGGGAUGCUGCCUCAGCGUGGUUUGAUGAGCAGUGUCAUGUCCGCGCCCAGGAUUGGAACCAACGAAACACUGGGCCGCCUGCAGCGGAGCGCGCGAACUUAACCGCUCGGCCAUGGGGCCAGCCCCAAAAGUUGAGGAAACUGAGAAAUGUCAAAGCUGAGUGAGGACUUGUCCGUGGUCACAUGGCAGCAUUUGAACCCGGGUCCAGUUUACCAUCUUCCAACUCAAGUGCUUGUUCCACUCCUCCAAGCUGCCAGUUUGGCUACUAUAAGGGAAGACAACCCGAGGUAGCAGCUGCACAUGGAAAAGAUGAAAAUGAGAGAAAUGAAGAGUGACGUGGACAGAACUCAAUGAAACCUCUGGAUCAAACCAUGCCUGAAGUCCUGCAUUACUUCUGGAGUUUUCCAUUUCAUUAACCCAUAACUUUACUAUUGCUUAAGGCAAUUUGUGUUUGGUUUUCUGAAUUGCGACUAAAAUCAUCCCAACUAAUAUAUGUUGCUUAUAAUCUUCAUAAACUUUAUUUCUA
rnacentral:lncRNA from 1 species